rnacentral:rRNA from 1 species
UUCGUAGGUCGCAAGCGUUGUCCGGAUUUACUGGGCGUAAAGAGCGCGCAGGCGGCUGGUCAAGUCCGAUGUGAAAUCUCCCGGCUCAACUGGGAAACUGCAUCGGAAACUGAUCGGCUUGAAGAUGGGAGAGGGUAGUGGAAUUCCCGGUGUAGUGGUGAAAUGCGUAGAUAUCGGGAGGAACACCAGUGGCGAAGGCGACUACCUGGCCCAUUCUUGACGCUGAGGCGCGAAAGCUAGGGGAGCGAACGGG